CAAAAACACGGACGAUCGCUCCUGUGGAGCAUAAUACAGCCGAAGGCAGUUGUUGCAGUGCAAAAAGGCGCCCUUUCUUUGGUGGUUCCGACAUUAUAUUUUGGCUGAAAUAAUCAGUCGUUUUAUUAUUUUUUAUGUGAAACUGCUGUGUUGAAUUUGAAUGCUGCUUUGUGCUUUGAAAUCUCAGUGUUUAUGUUUAUGUUUUCAGCUGUCACUUUCAAUAAAGGGUAACAAUCACA